UUUUUUCUCUUUGGGCUUGUAGAAAAAAAACCCUCAUGUUUCUUCCUCCUUCUGUGAUCUUCCUUAUUUCUGUUUUGAGCAGCUUCUUCGUGUGUCCUCCGCGGAUGACCUGCGUGAGGCUCUCCGCCAAAGCCUACUUUCUCCCUCAUGGUGGAGAUGGAGCUGUGUGACUAGCCCAGUGCCGCAGCCAUCCUUCCUUUGAGGAUCAGUCUUUCCUUCCUUGGCUCCCAGAGGACUCCUCCCUCCUCCCACAAACAACUCCAGAGCCCAAGAUGGUAAGCUCCAUGAAAGUGGAAUUUUUGUCUGCUCGUUCACAGCUGUAUCUCGAGUGCCCUGGGGACACCUUGACGCAUUGCAGUGCACAGGCAGCACUUGCGGAAUGAAGAACGGAGAGCCCAGGGCUUGUCGUUCAGGGCCAGUCUCUGACUUGGAUGACCAUCCUCCCAGAACUCUGCUCUGUCUUAGGAAGUGAAUUCUGAACAGAGACUCGCUCCCUCCAGCUGGCAGCCUGUCUGAUUGCAGAGUGACAUGCAUGUGAGAGACACUCGGGCACGUCAGCCCCGGAAGUAGCCACCUGGCACUUCAUCCCAGCCAUCCAAGGAAGCUCCUGUCCUGCCAUGUCUUUCCGUGAAAUGUCCCUUGACCUCUGGCAGCUGCCACUGCCCCAUGCUGCUUGGGCCUUUCCCACCCCAGUGAUAAAGCCCAAGAAGACCAGCAAUGGGAUCGGCCAACCUGUCCUCUCACCGCUUGCUGACAGUGUGUCUGUCAAAGGCAACUCCAGAGGCCAGAAAGAAAUGCCCUGCUGGGUGAUUUAACUGUUCAAAUGAGAAGGCAAAUGCCGAGAUGCUUUUCUACCGAACCCAAACCCCGUCCUCCCCACCACAGCCCUGGGACAACUUAGAAGCAGCAAUCAGGCUCAGAGCUCACUGAGGUACCUGCAUUACAAGUUCGCCCUUGGCGGACGCGCAGCCAUCCGACUUCCCACUUGGCCUGUCCUGUGAGAAGAAAGGAAAGACAAGCAUCUUUUGGAAAAGGAAGCCUAAUACAAAGAAAGUGAUCCGAUGAAAAACAAAUGGCUGACAUAAAGAAUGAGAUUAGAAAGCUAGUGCAGUAUGGAGAGGCGAUUUUCAACAGGGGCUUCUGACCUAAAGAAAGAAAUGUGUCCCUAGGAGUUUUUCCAGGCCUCUGUCAUCACCAGCUCUGACUUUACCUUUGAGGCAAGGGACAUGGUGGGGAGCACUGAAAUUGGCAGAAUUCCACUUGGUUGAUUUGGCUUGAGCUCUGAGAAGCAAGUUUGUGGACUUGGCUUUUCUGCUGAGCACUAAUGAUAUGAUACUGUCAUUUUUGUUAGUUUCAUUUAUCUUGUUUUUCUAAUGUUUAUUUUACUGAGGCUUUCUCACAUAUAGCAAAAUGCUCACAUCUAAAUGUACAGCUUGAUGAAUUUUGUAUAGAGGUAUGCCCUGGCAGCUACUACGUCUUUACAUGGGUUUCGCCUGGCUUUUGAACUCAUGCACAUGGAAUCAUAGAGCAUAUCUUUUUAUGAGUCUAGCUUCCUUGGCUCAGCAUUAUAUUUUUGAGACUCUCCACGUUUUUACUCUAUGCAGAGUUUCCUCUUUUCCAUCACAGUGUAGUUUCCAAUUCUGUGAAUGCCAGAUGCCGAUGGGCCUCAGUUUAUUCAUCUGCUCUCCUGUUAACUGUCAGUUAACUUGUUUCCAGUUUUUAACUGUUAUGAAUGAAGCUGCUAUGGGCAUUCUUGUGCAUGUCUUUUUGUGGAAUAGAUGCUUGUUCUUUCCAGGUAGAUGCAUUGGAGGAGAAUUGCUGGGUUAUGGAGUCUGUGUAUUUCCAAUACAGUAAAUAUUGCCAAAUGGUUUCCCAACGUGUUGGUUUUUCUUUUUUUUUGAGGCAGAAUCUUGCUCUGUCACCUAGGAUGGAGUGCAGUAGUGUCAUUUCAGCUCACUGCCACCUCUACCUCCCAGGUUCAGGCAAUAAUCCUGCCUCAGCCUCCCCAGUAGCUGGGAUUACAGGCAGCCAUCAUCACACCUGGCUAAUUUUUGUACUUUUAGUAGAGAUGGGGUUUCAUCAUGUCGGCCAGGCUGGUCUGAAACUCCUGACUGCAGGUGAUCUGCCCGCCUCAGCCUCCCAAAGUGCUGGGAUUACAGGUGUGACCCACCAUGCACGGCCUUUUCUCAGGUUUUUAAUGAGAAAGAAGUAGCUGGUCAAAUCAAGAGUGAGAUGUGAGGAAUCAGUCGCCCUUGUAGCAUUUUUAAGAUGGAAAGAGGGGCCGGGCGCGGUGGCUCAAGCCUGUAAUCCCAGCACUUUGAGAGGCCGAGGUGGGUGGAUCACGAGGUCAAGAGAUCGAGACCAUUCUGGUCAACAUGGUGAAACCCCAUCUCUACUAAAAAUACAAAAAAUUAGCUGGGCACGGUGGUGCGUGCCUGUAUCCAAGCUGCUCAGGAGGCUGAGGCAGGAGAAUUGCCUGAACCCAGGAGGUGGAGGUUGCGGUGAGCCGAGAUCACGCCAUUGCACUCCAGCCUGGGUAACAAGAGCAAAACUCCGUCUCACAAAAUAAAUAAAUAAAUAAAUAAAUAAAUAAAUAAAUAAAUAAAUAAAAGAUGGAAAGAGGGCAAAGUUAAGUGUUUGGUGCUUGUUUGAAAGAGGAGUCUCCAACACAGGUGGCCGAGUCGGGGGCGAUAAAGGAGCUUAAUUUUGCUGCUUUCAUUUCCAAAUAGGGCUGAGACACCCAAGUGGAAACUCAGGAGGUGGAGGGAGAUAGGGAUUGGAUGUGGCAGGGAGGUUGACAGACUCCCAACCUGUCAACCUGACUGCAUAGAUGAUAACUGAGGAUCCUUGUGCUGUGCACUGCCUGCAAGAGGCUUAGAACAA